rnacentral:rRNA from 1 species
UGGGGAAUAUUGGACAAUGGGGGCAACCCUGAUCCAGCAAUGCCGCGUGCGUGAAGAAGGCCCUAGGGUUGUAAAGCGCUUUCACCUGCGAGGAUGAUGACCGUAGCAGGAGAAGAAGCCCCGGCUAACUCCAUGCCAGCAGCCGGGGUAAUACGGAGGGGGCAAGCGUUGUUCGGAAUUACUGGGCGUAAAGGGCGUGUAGGCGGCGGAACCAGUCAGGCGUGAAAGCCCCGGGCUCAACCUGGGAGGUGCGCUUGAUACUGUUCUGCUAGAGUCCGGGAGAGGCGAGUGGAAUAUCCAGUGUAGAGGUGAAAUUCGUAGAUAUUGGAUGGAACACCAGUGGCGAAGGCGGCUCGCUGGACCGGAGCUGACGCUGAGGCGCGAAAGCGUGGGGAGCAAACAGGAUUAGAUACCCCGGUAGUCC